UUUCUCUCUCCCUCUCUCUCUCACACACACACACAGACACAGACACAGACACACACAGAACCAGUCACCACCAAACCUCACCUCACUUCAGUCGUUUACCACCUUUGCUUACCGUAAGACGCACAUCGCCACCACACCGCCAUCGCCGCAAUACGAACAGGUUGAGAAAAUUGUUUUUGUAGUUUUCUUCUCGAGGGAGUAAGCAAAGACAAAAAUAUUGAAAAUUUGUGAAGCAUUUGGUGGAAUUUGCUAUUCUGUAUCCGAAGAUAUAAUGAAACAAAGGCAACUAACUCAAGAAAUUUUGUGUAUGAUACACUGAACAUGCUGAAUUUUGAUGUUACAAAAAAAUGUCUUGUCAGAGAGGGUUAGUGUCUAAUAAUUGCCAAAACUCAGAUUGGUUUGGUUUUGAAGAAGUUGUUUGAAGAUGGUAUCGUGAAGCGUGAGGAUUUGUUUAUUACUUUCAAACUCUAGUUUGAAUCAAUCUUUAUUACCUCCAAACUUUGAUUAAUGAUGUAGGCAUGGAUACAGUGAUGUUUUUGGGUCAGAUCGAUGAUGUUUGCAUGGGCGCAAUUUACAUUAUAUUUUUUGUUUAUGGAAAACAUGUACACCUAAUAUGUUUUGUUUAGUAUGAUUUUUUUUAAUUUGAAUUUUAAUUGUUGGUUUGGAUAGUAUAUGUAUUUGUUGGAUUAUACUAUAUUUAUGGAUUCUUAUUUUCUUUGAUGUGUAUGGUUAA